GCGCGUAGGCGGCUCGUUAAGUGUGAAGCUAAAUCUCCAGGCUCAACCUGGAAACUAUUUCGCAUACUGGCGAGCUGGAGUAAUGCAGAGGUUUGUGGAAUUCCUGGUGUAGCGGUGAAAUGCGUUGAUAUCAGGAGGAACACCCAUGGCGAAGGCAGCAAACUGGGCAUUAACUGACGCUGAGGUGCGAAAGCGUGGGUAGCAAACAGGAUUAGAUACCCUGGUAGUCCACGCCCUAAACGAUGGAUACUAGGCGUAAGAGGUAUCGACCCCUCUUGUGCCGCAGCUAACGCAUUAAGUAUCCCGCCUGGGGAGUACGGCCGCAAGGUUGAAACUCAAAUGAAUUGACGGGGACCCGCACAAGCGGUGGAGCAUGUGGAUUAAUUCGAUACUAACCGAAGAACCUUACCCAGACUUGACAUCGAUCGCAAAGCCUAGAAAUAGGCUCCUCCCCCACAAGGGGACGUGAAGACACUUGUUGCAUGGCUGUCGUCAGCUCGUGCCGUGAGGUGUACGGUUAAGUCCGCCAACGAGCGCAACCCUCGUCCUGUGUU
rnacentral:rRNA from 1 species